GAUCAUAUGCAAAUCCAAAUGCAAUCUGGCAGAGUCGGUGACAACGAGUAACGGUCGAGAAACCUUAGGUGAUCCGAGGCGAUCGAAUUUCGAAAUCGACACGACUGCAUCGCAUAAUGGCCAUACAGUUACAGUUUGAAAAGAAGCAGAGACAAGUCACGUAAGAACUGAGGAGAGGAAAAAAAAAAACGACAAAUGUAGGAAGCGGAAAAUUCAACGCUAUUUCACUUGCUGCGAGAUAUAUAACUCAGAUUAUACGAAUGCAGAGAUUCUUCGAUGUGCUAUAAAUUGCACUUAAAUGUAUUACGACUACGAAAAGGCAAAUUCUGUUCCAAAAACACUGGCGAAUAUCUACUUACUAAUCUGAUCAUCGUGUCUGUUAAGUUGUUUUUGAUACUCCGAAUUACCACUUUAUUGCGGCAAUCUAAGAUAUUCGUUACUUGGAGGAAGUUCGCGUGUUA